rnacentral:rRNA from 1 species
UGAGGAAUAUUGGUCAAUGGGCGCGAGCCUGAACCAGCCAAGUAGCGUGAAGGAUGAAGGUCCUACGGAUUGUAAACUUCUUUUAUAAGGGAAUAAAGUCACCCACGUGUGGGUGUUUGUAUGUACCUUAUGAAUAAGCAUCGGCUAACUCCGUGCCAGCAGCCGCGGUAAUACGGAGGAUGCGAGCGUUAUCCGGAUUUAUUGGGUUUAAAGGGAGCGUAGACGGGCCGUUAAGUCAGCUGUGAAAGUUUGAGGCUCAACCUUAAAAUUGCAGUUGAUACUGGCGUCCUUGAGUACGGUUGAGGCAGGCGGAAUUCGUGGUGUAGCGGUGAAAUGCUUAGAUAUCACGAAGAACCCCGAUUGCGAAGGCAGCCUGCUAAACCGCCACUGACGUUGAGGCUCGAAAGUGUGGGUAUCAAACAGGAUUAGAUACCCUGGUAGUCCACACGGUAAACGAUGGAUACUCGCUGUUGGCGAUAGACUGUCAGCGGCUUAGCGAAAGCGUUAAGUAUCCCACCUGGGGAGUACGCCGGCAACGGUGAAACUCAAAGGAAUUGACGGGGGCCCGCACAAGCGGAGGAACAUGUGGUUUAAUUCGAUGAUACGCGAGGAACCUUACCCGGGCUUGAAUUGCAGACGAAUUGCUUGGAAACAGGCAAGCCGCAAGGCGUCUGUGAAGGUGCUGCAUGGUUGUCGUCAGCUCGUGCCGUGAGGUGUCGGCUUAAGUGCCAUAACGAGCGCAACCCUCGUGUCCAGUUACUAGCAGGUUAUGCUGAGGACUCUGGACAGACUGCCAUCGUAAGAUGUGAGGAAGGUGGGGAUGACGUCAAAUCAGCACGGCCCUUACGUCCGGGGCUACACACGUGUUACAAUGGGGGGUACAGCAGGCAGCUACCGGGCGACCGGAUGCCAAUCCCGAAAGCCUCUCUCAGUUCGGAGUGGAGUCUGCAACCCGACUCCACGAAGCUGGAUUCGCUAGUAAUCGCGCAUCAGCCACGGCGCGGUGAAUACGUUCCC